rnacentral:lncRNA from 1 species
GAGUCCCCGCAUUGGCUUUUGCUUGUAUUUCCAAACAGAGAAUCAUUAAAGGCUGUUGAAGGUCCAUCUCUUCUUUCCCCUUAAUGUUAUUGUUUUAAUUACUUGUGAAGAUUUGUUUUAUACUUUUAUGGACUAUAUCAUGCUUGCUUUACUUUUUCUUAGUUAUUUGGGUUUAACUGCUCAUGUUUGCUGCAUUUUCAUGAUUUGACAUUGAAUUGUUCUCUUGAUGAUGUUGUUGGAUUGAGAUUGUAGUUAGAUAGGUUCUGAAUUUGAUUUAUUGAUAAAUAAAGAAAACUGAAUUGUUCGAGACGCCGCAUGAUUGUAUUAAUAGAACAAAUAAUAUUGAGCUUCAAAAUUUGAUCUAAAUAGCCGUUUGGAUUUUUUUUAAUAGUAAUUUGAGCUUUGGAUUAUUUUUGUUCUUUACUUUUGCUUUGUUACUUUGAUCGGUAGAAGUAUUCUUAGGCCGACCACACUUGGGUAGACAAACUUUAGGGAUUUUGUCAAUUUUGAGGCAAGAGGUCAUUCCCCUUAGUUAAAUUUAUCUGGAGAAUGCCCCGAAGGAUUUGUAUAUAUCUUUAUCCGGGGAAUGCCCCGAAGUAUUUGUAUUUGGAGGACGAAAGUAGAACUCGUAGUAUUUUAUUUUUAUUUGUAUUUUUAUUUUUUAUUUUUUAUUAGGUGGGGACGACCUCGAGCCUCGUGUGUUUAUUUGCUUUUCCACGUUUAUUUUUACCUCAAUUGAAUAUUUUAAAAGCCAAUUUAAUCGAGUGCGCAACCGUACUAGUUACGGGAUUUGGGGAGUGCCUAACACCUUCUCCCCGAGUCAAAUGAACCCCCUUAUCCGAAUCUCUGAUGCGGACUUGGUUUUAGAGUCUGAAACGUCUUAAAAGAAAAAAUCAUUUUAAAAACGGUAACCUGGCACACCGAAAUCAAAGUCAGGUGGCGACUCUGAGUUAUUUCCUUUUGAAUACAAUUUUUGUCACGUUCUAAUUGGAAAACCCUUUUCAAGCUUUACUAAAUCUUUUUAUUGAUUUAAGAGGGUUAAGUGAAGUAUGGUUAAAAAAGGGGUGUGACAGGUCGGAUCGAAUCAGGAAUGAUUUUGGUAAGGUUUGAGACACUUAGUCUUUUUUAAGGAAGUUUAAGUUGGAAAAGUCAAUCGGAUGUUGACUUAUGUGUUAGUGGGCUCCGACGUGAGUUCUGAUGGUUCAGUUAUCUUCGAGAUAUGAUUUAUGACUUAGGAGUGCGAUCAGAAUGAGUUUUGGAGGUUCGAAGUUGAUUUAGGCUUGAAUUGGCGAAGUUGAGAUUUUGGCGAUUUCCGGUUGAUAGGCAAGAUUUUGAUAUAGGGGUUGGAAUGGAAUUCCGAGAGUUGGAGUAGUUCCGUUGUGUCAUUUUGGGAUGUGUGUGCAAAAUUUCAGGUCAUUCGGACGUGGUUUGGUUGGGUUUUUGAUCAAAAGCGGAAUUCGGAAGAUUUUAGAAAGUUUGGCUUGAAUCCGAUAUGUUUUGGGUGAUUUGAUAUUGUUUAAGGUGUUUUGAUGAUUGGAAUAAGUUUGAAUAAGGUAUUAGGAUAUGUUUGGGCUUUUGGUUGAGGUCCCGGGGGUCCUCGGGGUGAUUUCGGAAGGUUAACGGGAAGUUGGGAUUGUUGUUGCAGCUAUUGAAUUACUGUUUCUGGUAUUUUUGUACCUGCGGAUUGGGGACUGCAGGUGCAACGCCGCAUAUGCGAGAGAGUGGCCGCAGAAGCGACCAGAGGUAUGCUUGACUGGGACCGCAUAAGCGGCUAGGAGAACCGCAUCUGCGAUAUCGCAGAUACAGGCGAGGAACCGCGGAUGCAAAUGGCUGGGAACUUAAGUGAUUCCACAGAGGCGGACAUUGAACCGCAAUUGCGGUACCUCAGAAGCGGGUAUGGGCGCAGAUGCGAAAAGGUCUGGGUAGAAGGUAUAAAUUGUCUUUUUCGCGAAAUUUUGCUAAGUUUAUCAUUUUUGAAGACGGGAAAGUGGCUAAGGCAUAGGAUUUCAAGAGGAAUCAAAGGAUAUCCAUUGGGUAAGUUCCCUAAGCUUAAUUACUUGGGUUUAAGAUCAUUUUUCCAUUGUUUAAUCAUGGUUUUAGUGGAGAUUAAGGAAGAAAAAUUGGGAAUUAGGGCUUGAGUUUAAGAGGCCUCUAAAUGGGGAUUGAGGGGUCAUUUGGACUCCGAUUUCACUGUUCUUGAUAUGUAUAAACUCGUGGGAAAAUAAGGAUUCCGUUGAUGUAAAAGUUAUCGAAUUCCGAGACGUGGGCCCGAGGGUCGGGUUUUGGUAAUUUCGGGAUUUAUGCCAUUUAUUGAUUGUUUUCUCUUGGGCUUCGUUCCAUUAGCAUAUUUUGACGUCCUCGUUCUAUUUUUGGAUAGAUUCGACGCGAGUGGAGGCCGAUUCAAGGGGCAAAGGCAUCGCGAGCUAGAGAUUUAGCCGACUCGAGGUGAGUAAUGAUUGUAAAUGAUGUUCUGAGGGUUUGAAACCCCGGAUUUGCACAUCGUAGUGCUAUAUUGAGGUAAGGCACACGCUUGAUGACGAGCGUGGGGUCGUGCACUAAUGGGGAUUGUUACUUGGUCCAUCCCGAUUGAUGGUUUUACCGCGUAUUUGACUGAACUAUUUGCUAUCAUCAUUAUUUGGGCUUAAUGUCAUAUUUGGACUGAAUGCCAACUAUGUGAACCCUUUAGUGAUUUAUAUAGAUAUUUUCUCAGUUUUGACUAUAUACUUGCACUUAGUCACGUUAUUUUUCACUAUUUUCAUACUCAGCCAUGUUUACUCAGUUUUAAUACUUAAAUGAUAUUUUAAAUGAUGUUUGGGCUGAGAAACACUGUUUUACUAUUGCCCAAGUGGCUUGUGAGAAUUUUGACUGAGUAAGGCCGAGGGCCUAUGUUGUGAGGAAACAUUUGAUACUAAUUAUGAGGCCGAUGGCCUGAGAUAUGUACUCCACGAGGUGGCUUGAUUGAUAUGAGGCCGAGGGCCUAGUGAUGAUGCCAUGAGGUGGCUUGAUAUUGUGCUUGGGUCGUAAGAGGCCCCUCUAGGAGUCUGUACACCCCUAGUGAGC